GACGAGGGGUCCUAGCGUUGCUCGGAAUUAUUGGGCGUAAAGCGGGUGUAGGUGGCUUUGUAAGUCAGAAGAUGAAGCCCUGGGCUCAACCCAGGAAGUGCUUUUGAUACUGCUUAGCUUGAGUGUGGGAGAGGAUAGUAGAAUUCCUGGUGUAGUGGUGAAAUACGUAGAUAUCAGGAGGAACACCUGUGGCGAAAGCGGCUCACUGGACCAUAACUGACGCUGAUGCACGAAAGCUAGGGGAGCAAACAGG
rnacentral:rRNA from 1 species